UGGGGAAUAUUGGACAAUGGGCGAAAGCCUGAUCCAGCAAUGCCGCGUGAGUGAAGAAGGCCUUCGGGUUGUAAAGCUCUUUUACCCGGGAAGAUAAUGACUGUACCGGGAGAAUAAGCCCCGGCUAACUCCGUGCCAGCAGCCGCGGUAAUACGGAGGGGGCUAGCGUUGUUCGGAAUUACUGGGCGUAAAGCGCACGUAGGCGGCCUUACAAGUCAGGGGUGAAAGCCCGCGGCUCAACCGCGGAAUUGCCCUUGAGACUGUAUCGCUUGAACACGGGAGAGGUGAGUGGAAUUCCGAGUGUAGAGGUGAAAUUCGUAGAUAUUCGGAAGAACACCAGUGGCGAAGGCGGCUCACUGGACCGUAGUUGACGCUGAGGUGCGAAAGCGUGGGGAGCAAACAGGAUUAGAUACCCUAGUAGUCCACGCCGUAAACGAUGAAGACUAGCUGUCAGGGUGCUUAGCACUUUGGUGGCGCAGCUAACGCAUUAAGUCUUCCGCCUGGGGGAGUACGGCCGCAAGGUUAAAACUCAAAUGAAUUGACGGGGUCAUAGCUGUUUCCUG
rnacentral:rRNA from 1 species